rnacentral:rRNA from 1 species
GAACGCUGGCGGCGUGCCUAAUACAUGCAAGUCGAGCGAACAGACGAGGAGCUUGCUCCUCUGACGUUAGCGGCGGACGGGUGAGUAACACGUGGAUAACCUACCUAUAAGACUGGGAUAACUUCGGGAAACCGGAGCUAAUACCGGAUAAUAUAUUGAACCGCAUGGUUCAAUAGUGAAAGACGGUUUUGCUGUCACUUAUAGAUGGAUCCGCGCCGCAUUAGCUAGUUGGUAAGGUAACGGCUUACCAAGGCAACGAUGCGUAGCCGACCUGAGAGGGUGAUCGGCCACACUGGAACUGAGACACGGUCCAGACUCCUACGGGAGGCAGCAGUAGGGAAUCUUCCGCAAUGGGCGAAAGCCUGACGGAGCAACGCCGCGUGAGUGAUGAAGGUCUUCGGAUCGUAAAACUCUGUUAUUAGGGAAGAACAAAUGUGUAAGUAACUAUGCACGUCUUGACGGUACCUAAUCAGGAAGCCACGGCUAACUACGUGCCAGCAGCCGCGGUAAUACGUAGGUGGCAAGCGUUAUCCGGAAUUAUUGGGCGUAAAGCGCGCGUAGGCGGUUUUUUAAGUCUGAUGUGAAAGCCCACGGCUCAACCGUGGAGGGUCAUUGGAAACUGGAAAACUUGAGUGCAGAAGAGGAAAGUGGAAUUCCAUGUGUAGCGGUGAAAUGCGCAGAGAUAUGGAGGAACACCAGUGGCGAAGGCGACUUUCUGGUCUGUAACUGACGCUGAUGUGCGA